rnacentral:rRNA from 1 species
UACGAAGGGGGCUAGCGUUGCUCGGAAUCACUGGGCGUAAAGGGUGCGUAGGCGGGUCUUUAAGUCAGGGGUGAAAUCCUGGAGCUCAACUCCAGAACUGCCUUUGAUACUGAGGAUCUUGAGUUCGGGAGAGGUGAGUGGAACUGCGAGUGUAGAGGUGAAAAUUCGUAGAUAUUCGCAAGAACACCAGUGGCGAAGGCGGCUUACUGGCCCGAUACUGACGCUGAGGCACGAAAGCGUGGGGAGCAAACAGG